rnacentral:lncRNA from 1 species
AUGGACAUUGUGUAAAGCUACUUUUAGAGGGAAAAUGACCCCACAAAAUCAAUUACCGUGGAACGAGUAAUGAUGUUUAAUUCAAUAUAGAGACAAUCUAAUAAGCUAACUCUUGAAGAAAAAGAAAGGCUAAUUAAAUUAAUUAUUGCAAUUGAUACACAAUGCCUCUUCAAACAAACUUCACCCCAACGAGAACAUUUCAUGAUGGGCCUGGAAAACUUGUUGCCUGUUCAUGACUCUUCUUUGAUAUCGGGCCUAUUCAUCAAUGCAAAGUCCAAACACUAAAUCUUAUCCAAGGAUUUACUAUUCUCACCUCCCAAAUUCUAAUUAAAGCCUCACCUUUUCAAGAGUUUGUCUUUAAGAAAAAUGCUGCCCGC